UACGUAGGGUGCAGGCGUUAAUCGGAAUUACUGGGCGUAAAGCGUGCGCAGGCGGUUUGCUAAGACAGGUGUGAAAUCCCCCGGGCUUAACCUGGGAACUGCGCUUGUUACUGGCAAGCUUGAGUGUGGCAGAGGGGGGGUGGAAUUCCACGUGUAGCAGUGAAAUGCGUAGAGAUGUGGAGGAACACCGAUGGCGAAGGCAGCCCCCCUGGGCUAACACUGACGCUCAUGCACGAAAGCGUGGGGAGCAAACAGG
rnacentral:rRNA from 1 species